ACGGAUCGGAUCCGGCGGGCCGGCACCGCCAAAGGCCCGUUUUUUGCCCAAUUUUUGUCCGGUGCGGCGCCGAAGGCGCCCAUCCGGCGCCUUUGGCGCCAUUCAAAGGAUUCGGACGAGAAAAAAUACUGGAAACUGAAUCAUCUUAGUACCAAAAUAAAAAAUCAACCGAGAUCCCAAAAGUAGUGAGAACGAAAAUGGGAAAAUUUUAUCGAACAAAGAGGGUAAGGUAAAUCUUUUACAGUCCCGUAGAUAAAAAAAAGAUAGUUAGGGUCAUGGACGCCAAAAGCGUCGCGCUUUGUAGACGGGCGCCGAAGGGCGCCGGACGGCGCGUUGGCAUUGGGGCGCUGCAAUAAAAAGACAUAGUUGGGGCCCAGCCGGGCCCGUCUUUAGCACCCCACGGGGUCCCGCCCUCGCUUUCAAAAACGAGAAAUACCGAUAGUGAAACAGUACUGUGAAGGAAAGUUGAAAGAGAGUUGAAAUAGAACCGGAAA
rnacentral:ncRNA from 1 species